UACGUAGGGGGCAAGCGUUGUCCGGAAUCAUUGGGCGUAAAGAGCGUGUAGGCGGUCCGGUAAGUCGGCUGUGAAAGUCCAGGGCUCAACCCUGGGAUGCCGGUCGAUACUGUCGGGCUAGAGUGCGGGAGAGGCGAGUGGAAUUCCUGGUGUAGCGGUGAAAUGCGCAGAUAUCAGGAGGAACACCAAUGCGAAGGCAG
rnacentral:rRNA from 1 species